rnacentral:rRNA from 1 species
AUACGGGUAAGAAGGGUAGCGUACCAUUGUUUGUGGUAAGUAACGGCUACCAAGACUACGAUGGUUAGGGCCCUGGGAGGGGAUCCCCCCCACUGGUACUGNACACGGACCAGACUCCUACGGAGGCAGCAGUGAGGAAUAUUGGACAAUGAGGAGACUCUGAUCCAGCCAUGCCGCGUGCAGGAAGACGGUCCUAUGGAUUGUAAACUGCUUUUAUACAGGAAGAAUAAGGACUACGUGUAGUCUGGUGACGGUACUGUAAGAAUAAGGACCGGCUAACUACGUGCCAGCAGCCGCGGUAAUACGGAGGGUCCGAGCGUUAUCCGGAAUUAUUGGGUCUAAAGCGUCCGUAGGCGCGCCAUUAAGUCAGGGGUGAAAGUUUGCAGCUCAACUGUAGAAUUGCCUUUGAUACUGAUGGUCUUGAAUUAUUGUGAAGUGGUUAGAAUAUGUAGUGUAGCGGUGAAAUGCAUAGAUAUUACAUAGAAUACCGAUUGCGAAGGCAGAUCACUAACAAUACAUUGACGGUGAUGGACGAAAGCGUGGGUAGCGAACAGGAUUAGAUACCCUGGUAGUCCACGCCGUAAACGAUGGAUACUAGCUGUGUGGUUUUCGGACUGCGCGGCCAAGCGAAAGUGAUAAGUAUCCCACCUGGGGAGUACGUUCGCAAGAAUGAAACUCAAAGGAAUUGACGGGGGCCCGCACAAGCGGUGGAGCAUGUGGUUUAAUUCGAUGAUACGCGAGGAACCUUACCAGGGCUUAAAUGUAGAUUGACAGGUUUAGAGAUAGACUUUCCUUCGGGCAAUUUACAAGGUGCUGCAUGGUUGUCGUCAGCUCGUGCCGUGAGGUGUCAGGUUAAGUCCUAUAACGAGCGCAACCCCUGUUGUUAGUUACCAGCACAUUAUGGUGGGGACUCUAGCAAGACUGCCGGUGCAAACCGUGAGGAAGGUGGGGAUGACGUCAAAUCAUCACGGCCCUUACGUCCUGGGCCACACACGUGCUACAAUGGUAGGUACAGAGAGCAGCCACUUAGCGAUAAGGAGCGAAUCUAUAAAACCUAUCACAGUUCGGAUCGGAGUCUGCAACUCGACUCCGUGAAGCUGGAAUCGCUAGUAAUCGGAUAUCAGCCAUGAUCCGGUGAAUACGUUCCCGGGCCUUGUACACACCGCCCGUCAAGCCAUGGAAGCUGGGGGUACCUGAAAGUUCGUCACCUGUAAGGAGCGAC